rfam:Enterococcus asini ATCC 700915 genomic scaffold acvKe-supercont1.4, whole genome shotgun sequence.
GGCUAGGACAAUGGCUGGGCAGUGAAGUGGGUCAGAUCUGGAAGGAAGCAGCCCUAAGCAGUUGCAGCCAUGUGUCCGAUACAUA